CAACUUUCAACAACGGAUCUCUUGGCUCUCGCAUCGAUGAAGAACGCAGCGAAAUGCGAUAAGUAAUGUGAAUUGCAGAAUUCAGUGAAUCAUCGAAUCUUUGAACGCACCUUGCGCUCCUUGGUAUUCCGAGGAG
rnacentral:rRNA from 1 species